GCUUAUAUGUAGGCUUGGAAGCAGCCAUCUUUUCAAGAAAGCGUAACAACUCAUUGGUUUAGCUUUUUAGCGUCGAAAAUGUAUAGGGGCUAAAAUUACUUGCCGAAACAAUAAAUUUAGAUUAAUUUAUAAAAAUCAAAAGAAUCGUAAAUCUAAGAUAAGAAAAGAUGCAAAUAAAAAAAUCAUUUAUUCGAAUUUUUUAAAAGCAAAAUACUUUAUCAUUUUUAUUUUUUGAUUAUUUUAAGCAGUGUUAAAAUAUAAUAACUAAGUAUUAGCAAGGUAAAUAAAAUUAAUCUAAAUGGUAGCAGAACGUUUUGUAUAUUUAAGAAGAUUUAUAGUUAUAUAAAUUGAAAAAAUCAAAAAUGAAAAUAUUGAUAUGAGUAGCGAAAAACGGUUAAGUGAAAACAAACUGCGUCACCUUAAGUUCAAGGUUUAUAAGGAAAGGCUAAUCCUCCUUAAUGUUAAUCGGCCCCUAAGAUGAUGACGAAAGUUAUAGUUGAUGGGUAAUAAUUUAUUAUUAUACUCUAAAGUGACAAAAUACAAAUUUGAUUUUUAACUACGUGUUGUUUGAUUAUCGACUGGAAUAAACUUUUGUUGCCAAGAGUUUAUUCCAGUCGAUAAGCAAGUAAUUCAGUUCUAGUUAAAAGUUUUUUAGUAUUUUCAGGAAAUAGCUUAGAGUAGUACCGUACUGUAAACCGACACAGGUGAACAAAUUUAGUAAAUUAAGGUGCUUGAGUUAAUUGUAUUGAAGGAACUCGGCAAAAUGACUCCGUAACUUCGGGAUAAGGAGUAGCUUUUUAGGUUUUAACUUAAAAAGCUGUCACAAAAUCGAGGACAGCGACUGUUUAAUAAAAACACAGGUCUCUGCAAAUUUGAAAAAAGAAGUAUAGAGACUGACGCCUGCCCGGUGCUGCAAGCUUAAUAGAAAAAGUCUUGGCUUUAACUUUAACCCCCAGUAAACGGCGGCUGUAACUCUGACGGUCCAAAGGUAGCGAAAUUCCUUGGCAUUUAAUUGGUGUCCCGCAUGAAUGGCGUAACGACUGUCCUACUGUCUCCAAUACAAUCUCAGUGAAAUUGAAAUGUCUGUGAAGAUGCAGACUACUCGCGGCUAGACGGAAAGACCCUGUGCACCUUUACUAUAGUUAUAAAUUGUAAUAAAACUUUUUCUGUGUAGUAUAUGUGGUAAGUUUUUACAAAACCAUAACGUAAGUUAUUUGUUUAAACAUAAAUGAAAUACCACUCUUAAAAACUUUUGUUACUCAUAAUCCCGAAACAGUUUAUAAUGGGUAGUUUGACUGGGGCGGUCGCCUCCUAAAAAGUAACGGAGGCGUACGAAGGUAAGCUCAAAUUGAAAAAAAUCAAUUGAAGAGCAUAAUAGUACAUUGUUUGCUUGACUGGAAGAUUGACAGAUCGAACAGAGAUGAAAAUCGGUUAUAGUGAUCCGAUGACUCUGCGUGGAAAAGGUCAUCGCUCAACGGAUAAAAGGUACGCCAGGGAUAACAGGCUAAUCAUUCUUUAGAGACCCUAUCGAUGGAGUGGUUUGGCACCUCGAUGUUGGAUUAUCGCAUCCUGGAGCUGUAAGUGGUUCCAAGGGUUUGGCUGUUCGCCAAGAAAGGCGGUACAUGAUCUGAGUUUAGAACGUUGUAAAACAGUUUGGUCCCUAUCUACCGUGAGUGUUAAAAAUUGAAAGGGGUAGACUUUAGUACGAGAGGACCGAGAAAAGUAAAUCUCUGGUGGAUCGAUUGUUAUUUUCAUAGCAUUGUCGAGUAGCUAUAUUUAUAAUAGAUAAUUGUUGAAAGCAUCUAAACAAGAAACUAGCCUUGAAAAAAUUUUUAAAAAGCCGUAAAAGAUUAUUACGUGAUAGACUUAUUGUAUAAGAAUUGUAAAAUUUUUAGCAGAAAAGCACUAAAAUAAAUACUCGUUAUC
rnacentral:rRNA from 1 species